rnacentral:miRNA from 1 species
AAUUUUCAACCCUGGGCUGAGUUCAACCCUGGGGUUGAAAUUUCAACCCUGCUUCAGCUAGCAGGCCGGGUUGAAAUUUCAACCCCGGGGUUGAACUCAGCUCUGGGUUGAAAA